AACCCCCCUACCCAGGAAGGGUCACCUGGAGCAGGAGCCCAGAGCUGGACACAGCACUCCAGAUGUGGCCGAUGUGCCACUCUGUCACUGCCUCGGGGACACAGGACACCACUGGGGACAGGCUCUGACACAGACUCACAGCCCUGGACCCAGGCUGGCAAGGGGGCUGAGUCCCAGCUGAAGCACAAACUCACAGAAACACGUAGAACAGCAGCUUCCAGACUCUGGCAUCGUACGCAACUCCUUGCUUUGAACCCCAAACCUCUCCUACAGAUGCCAAGGCCAGCACAAACACAAGAGUCUGUACAACCUUUCCAACCACCAACAGCAGCACCAAGCAGCCUGCCACUGGGAACCACUGCCUCCAAAAUCCAU